rnacentral:rRNA from 1 species
UAAUACGGAGGGUGCAAGCGUUAUCCGGAUUUACUGGGUUUAAAGGGUGCGCAGGCGGAUAUGUAAGUCAGUGGUGAAAUCUUUAGGCUUAACCUGAAAAUUGCCGUUGAUACUAUAUAUCUUGAAUGCUGUGGAGGUAAGCGGAAUAUGUCAUGUAGCGGUGAAAUGCUUAGAUAUGACAUAGAACACCUAUUGCGAAGGCAGCUUACUACGCAGAUAUUGACGCUCAUGCACGAAAGCGUGGGGAUCAAACAGGAUUAGAUACCCUGGUAGUCCACGCCCUAAACGAUGAUUACUCGACAUACGCGAUACACUGUGUGUGUCUGAGCGAAAGCAUUAAGUAAUCCACCUGGGAAGUACGACCGCAAGGUUGAAACUCAAAUGAAUUGACGG